AAAAGGACUGCCAGUAUCCCCUGAGGACCCCAUGUCAGCAGCUGAGAAGGGAACAGCUGUACUGAGUUGCUGUUCUCUGUCAGUCACUAUGAAGUCUGAAUUCUAAUUAUGAUGUCACAAAAUUCAAGGCCACCAGCGAGAGUGUCAAGAGGUCAAGAGGCAGAGUGUUCAGUUUUGCAGUACACUGUUGUGGUAAAAAUAUAACCUGGGAUUUGUGAAAUGUAAAAAUGUAGGAGAAUAUUCAACGACUGAGAACCUAUAUAUGGAUUUAAUCUGUUUUUCCUUAAA
rnacentral:lncRNA from 1 species